UACAGUUUGCCCAAAAUCAAUCUG
rnacentral:piRNA from 1 species